UGAUGUGGUUUAAUUCGAUGCAACGCGAAAACCUUACCCACCUUUGACAUGGCAGGAAUCCUAAAGAGAUUUGGGAGCGCUCGAAAGAGAACCUGCACACAGGUGCUGCAUGGCUGUCGUCAGCUCGUGUCGUGAGAUGUUGGGUUAAGUCCCGCAACGAGCGCAACCCUUGCCAUUAGUUGCUACGAAAGGGCACUCUAAUGGGACUGCCGGUGACAAACCGGAGGAAGGUGGGGAUGACGUCAAGUCCUCAUGGCCCUUAUAGGUGGGGCUACACACGUCAUACAAUGGCCGGUACAGAGGGUAGCCAACCCGCGAGGGGGAGCCAAUCCCACAAAGCCGGUCGUAGUCCGGAUCGCAGUCUGCAACUCGACUGCGUGAAGUCGGAAUCGCUAGUAAUCGCGGAUCAGCAUGUCACGGUGAAUACGUUCCCGGGUCUU
rnacentral:rRNA from 1 species